AUUUUUUUGAAAUGAUUAAAAAUGGGCCCUGCUCGAUGUAUGAAUAAAUGGCCGCGGUAUUUUGACUGUGCAAAGGUAGCAUAAUAAUUAGUCUUGUAAUUUAAGACUGGAAUGAAAGGGUAAACUAGAAAAUUUCUUUCUUAACUAUUAAUUUCAAAUUUCACCUUUUAGUAAGAAGGCUAAAAUGUCUCUUUUAGACAAGAAGACCCUAUAAAACUUUACAUAAGAAAAUUUAAUAAAUUGAGAAUAUGUUUUGCUGGGGCGGCAGAAAGAAAAACACUUUUAAAUAUUAAAAAUAAUAUUAUUUUAAUACCCAAAAAUUUUGAAAUUUAAAUAAGUUACUUUAGGGAUAACAGCGUGAUAUGUUUUGAAAGUUCAAAUUGAUAAACGUGUUUGUGACCUCGAUGUUGGAUUAAAUUCCCUGUAUUACGCAAGAGUAAUAAUAGGAAGUCUGUUCGACUUAUAAAGGUUUCCA
rnacentral:rRNA from 1 species